AUCAAGGUAUAUUAAUACCACCCGAAAGACAAGCUCUCUAUGAUGCUUACUAUUUUAAGGGAAAAAGAAAAUCGGUUCCGGAGCAUGUGAGAGGUUGUGUGUGUGAUAAGCAUCCCUGUCUCAGUUUAUGUUGCGAACAGGAUGAGUAUUACGAUGAGACCAGAAGAAAAUGUGAAAAACUUAAGCCGUUUGAACAAGUUUUUUGGGAGUUACUAGUGGUUGAACAUUUUUCCAAAUAUAAUGUGACGAAUAUUUUAAAUAAAUUCAUCAUUCAAAAUUAUUACAAGUGUUGGGAGCCGGAGGUGCUACAGGUGAUUCCUGAUAAUUGGACAUUGUAUGAGGAAGGAAUUUUACUAGCUCAAAAUAACUUUAUGGAUAAUCCAGAAUUUUGUUUUUCACCACAUUUGGCGACUAAUAAUUUAUAUACAUUAAAACCAUUUACUUGUCGCUUUGUCGAUGAUGGCUCCAGGAAAAAACUCUUAAACGAAUACAAUCUGAAUAUAUCAUUAUUAUUUUUAAUACCCACCAUAGUGCUGUAUUUAGUGUUUAACGAACUGAGAAGCAAUCUGUCUGAUAAACUAUAUUUUUGUCAUAUAUUCUCCAUGACAAUGGGUAAUAUAAUUUUUAGUUUCCUGAAUAUAUUGUCUUCUCAAUUGAAUGUUAUG